CUGCUUGGGAAAGAUCACUUUGAGCAGAAUUGCUAGUGGAAAUAGGGAGGCAUGUAUAUGCUGAUGACUGCACAACAAAUUCAGCAAGGAUCUCGUAUGCCAGAGUGUUGAUUGAAAUGGACAUAACGGACGAGCUGCCUAUAAACAUCACAGUACAGGACGAUCCUGCUGGGAGAGUCUUUGAUCAAGAGAUUGAUUAUGAUUGGGUGCCAUAAUCAACAUCCGCCACUGCCUACUUGAUGAGUCCUACCUCUGUAUUUGUUGUUGUUAUAGGUUCCCAAUUGAACCCAUUGCUAACACACUACAUCCGCCGCUGAUUACUUGAUGUAGGACUCAUAGAAAUGAAAUCUGCAGGCAAGCAAUAAACAGUCAUGUAUUUGUAAGAUAGAUAAAGCUGUAAUGAUCAAAAUUAAGAAACCUCGUUCAACCACCAGCGUUCAAGAAUUUG
rnacentral:lncRNA from 1 species